UGAGCCACAACAGGAACUCCUCUCCCAUUGGCCUCCAGAGCGUGCAGCCGAUCACCAACCUGCAAAGCAUGUGACAAGAGUCACCCAAGAAAGACAAAAAUCAUUUCCCAAUGACUGUGAACUCCCUUGCUUAGGCCUUUAUCCCCCAUAAGGAAACAAACAAAAAAGACGUAUCACUCCCUUGCCAAGAGCAAGGCUCAUUUGGCAAAAUUGCCGUCUAUAAUGACUGUUCUUUAAAGCAAAGCUCUCAGGUGCAGCCACAAGAAAAGGCAGCAAAACCAGGACAGGACGUCGGCAGACACCCUGCGUGUCCGGGGGAGACAGGGGCGGGGGUGGGAAAUAAUGCACGCAAGGCCCCCCACCCCCCACUGCUGUCCAGAAUCUGGGGCCAGGGGAGCAGACUGACCCCCGCGUCUCCUGGGGUUCAGAGCCUUCCCUGACCCCACGUAUGCAGUCACGUGGCAGAAAGCCACAGGGAGGGGGCGGCUGCACCUGGCCGCCUGCUCACUGCUCUGAGAGCAGCCACCUGGCUCAAGCAGGACUCAGCAUGAGGAUGAGUCUGAGCAGGAAAUCUGGGGCUUGGGGACCUGGCUCAGCUCACCCGCCAGCAGGGCUCUGAAGCGCUUCUCGGUGCUGCGGAUGAGUCAAACCAGAAGUGAUACAAGCCAAGACUCUCAGAGCUCGUCCCGGGUGCGUCCCUCACCCCACAUCCUGCUGCCUGCCCUUCUCUCCCUGACCUCCAGUGGCCUCUGCAAAGCAGCCCAACACAGCAUCCAGCGCCCAAAAACCUGUGUUAAAUGAACGGAAGCGAAUGGAGGCAUUUGCUUCCACUCCUAUACCUACAGUGGGCCAAUCUGUGACAAGCCAAGGCCAUGCAAGACCAAUCAGGACCAGGAUGAGGGUUCCCCGCUGGAUCAGCAGGUUAGGGACCUGACGUUGUUACUGCUGUGGUGCAGGUUUCACCCCCAGCGGGGGGACUUCCGAAUGCUCUGGGCGUGGCCAAAAGGAAAGACCAAUCAGGAGAGACAACCACCCCUCUUCCCUGGGCUCUCCUGAGACAGACACCUCUUGUUCUUGCCGGGAUCAUCUAUCCCACGUGUUCCUCUGAGUUACCUGACACCCCGCACAAUAUCAGCCCUCGGUCAAUGUCAGCUGAUGGCAAACCCUAUCAAAUCCCUCAGGCCUGGAGCCUUGCACUGGGGGACUCAGAGGCCUAAGCCAGUGGGACCUGCCCAGCAUGGAAAACUCAAGGGCUGCAAGCUCAUCAAAUGCGGAGGGCAUCGUGCAUCACGGCGGGCUUCACGGAGGAGGUGGGGGGUGGGCGUUACACGGCCCACCCUGGGGCCUACGACCAGUGUGUUGGGAACACGUGCUCAGAUUUUCAUUUAAGCCCCUCCCUCUCUGGGCUCCACUCCCCUUCCUGUCCGCGUUGUCAAAAGAGGUUGCCAUCACCAUCCAUGUCUAAUGCCAGCUGAGUUCAAACCUGCUGAGUCCCUUUCGGAAGCAGCACUCCAUGGACACGUGACACGGUCCCGACGGCUGUUCUCAUUUCUGGGCAGAUGGAAAAGUGCCUCCCCCUCCCCUCGAAGUGUGACGGCACGAGUGGCCCAUGUAAUUAUCUGUGAGCGCGUCCUUAGCGUCACUUCAACACUGUUUUUAUCUAAAACAUGAUGCACCCAGCCAGCUUUUGCUUCUCCACCGUAGUGGAGGUCAAGGUUCGGCUGCAUAAUUGAAAUGGAAACGUUAUUUCCCCCACCCACCCGCCCAGGUUCCCUCACCUCCGCAUCCUCCUGCUGAGGAGGGAGGCGCUGUUGGACUGUGGAAGGGGCGCUGGCCUUGGCUGGGACUCCAGGGCCGGCUUUCUGGGGGACGUGACCGGUGCCCCCCCUUCCAGUGGGGCGGGAAGGGAAAGGGCUGGACCCCAGCCUGCCGAGAACCCCUCCCCCAAGCGGCGCAGCAUCUUCUUUGUAGUUGCUUUUCAUCAUUUAAUUGGUCGCAAGCUGUAAUCACAGGUGCUGUGGUCAGGACGCACUUGGGUAACAACCACGACGAGAACUCCCCGGGUACUCGCUUUUCCUAAAGGUGUCAGCAAAGGCAUCGCUCAACUCUCACGCGGACGCUCAAACAGAAACCCAGCCUUCACGGAAAGACCGUGAAUGUCUAAGGAAGGCACCAGUGUCUGCCCCUCUGCUGUGAACGUGUGCCUGUGAGGCGCUCGAGAUGGGCACAGUGGAAUGUGGGGAUGCUCUGUGCCAACUCUGCCAUGUUCCCAUAAACUGAAAAGUCUUCCCAAAUAAAAGGGUUAUUAAAAAUGUUUUAA